CCAGCCCGCUCAGAAACUCAAAUGAAUUGAGGGGCCCGCACAAGCGGAGGAGCAUGUGGUUUAAUUCGAUGAUACGCGAGGAACCUUACCUGAGCUCGAACGUAAGAUGACUGUAGGUGAAAGCUUACAUCUCUUCGGAGCAUUUUACGAGGUGCUGCAUGGUUGUCGUCAGCUCGUGCCGUGAGGUGUCGGGUUAAGUCCCAUAACGAGCGCAACCCCUACCUUUAGUUGCCAUCAGGUAAUGCUGGGGACUCUAAAGGAACUGCCUACGCAAGUAGUGAGGAAGGCGGGGAUGACGUCAAAUCAGCACGGCCCUUACGUCCAGGGCUACACACGUGCUACAAUGGCCGAUACAGAGGGCAGCUACCUGGUGACAGGAUGCAAAUCUCCAAAGUCGGUCUCAGUUCGGAUCGGAGUCUGCAACCCGACUCCGUGAAGUUGGAUUCGCUAGUAAUCGCGCAUCAGCCAUGGCGCGGUGAAUACGUUCCCGGGCCUU
rnacentral:rRNA from 1 species